UACAGAGGUCUCGAGCGUUUGUUCGGAUUCAUUGGGCGUAAAGGGUGCGUAGGUGGCACUGUAAGUCGGGUGUGAAAUCCUGAGGCUUAACCUCGGAACUGCAUUCGAUACUGCGGUGCUUGAGGACUGGAGAGGAGACUGGAAUUCAUGGUGUAGCAGUGAAAUGCGUAGAGAUCAUGAGGAAGACCAGUGGCGAAGGCGGGUCUCUGGACAGUUCCUGACACUGAGGCACGAAGGCCAGGGGAGCAAACGGG
rnacentral:rRNA from 1 species